CAGCUCCAAGAGCGUAUAUUAAUACUGCUGUAGUUAAAACGCCCGUAGUAUACCUAAGAGUGGGUGUGUAGCAAUUAGUUUUACCAGAGGACGGUUGGCGAGAGUUUAUCACUCUUGUUUGCCUACUUUUGGUAGACUUUAGUCGGGCUGGAUCUUUGGUCCUCGUCUGACAGUUGCUACGUGCUUACUUACCACGGUUCAUCCGUGAGGCCCUUGGCUUGCAACUGUAAAUAAAUCGUUGUGCUUAAAGCGGGCUAUGAUACUCUGCCAGAGCGAUUUAGCAUGGGACUGCAGAGUAGCUGUAUUUGAGUGAAGGUUGCACCUCGGUGUGGCUGGAGCUUGGUACAGCGCUUGUAAUGGAGCUCAGGGUGAGGCCCCGGGUACCAUGAGGCUAGAGGUGAAAUUCUGAGACCCUCAUGUGACCAACUAAGGCGAAAGCUGUCGUGGGCCACCACAAGCUCGUCUAUCAGGGACGAAAGUUGGGGGAUCGAAGACGAUUAGAUACCGUCGUAGUCCCAGCUAUAAACGAUACCAACCGAGUAUUUGGGAAGACACUAUCCCAGCGAUCUUCUCAGAACUCAAGGGAAACCUUAAGUCUUUGGGUUCUGGGGGGAGUAUAGUCGCAAGACCGAAACUUAAAGGAAUUGACGGAAAGGCACCACCAGGAGUGGAGUCUGCGGCUUAAUUCGACUCAACACGGGGAAACUCACCAGGUCAGGACACAAGUUUGAUUGACAGGUUAAUAGCCCUUUCUUGAUUGUGUGGUGGGUAGUGCAUGGCCGUUUCCAGUUCGUGGAGUGAUCUGUCUUGUUAAUUCAGAUAACGAACGAGACCUAAGCCUUUAACUAGCCGUAGGCCUUUUCCUUCGGGGAAGGGUUAGUUUGUCGGAACAGGCUUCGGUCUGUUCCAAAACCUACGAGACUUUUGUCAGCUUCUUAAAGGGACUUCAUUCGUAAACUAGGAUGAGGAAGAUUUAGGCCAUAACAGGUCUGUGAUGCUCUUAGAUGUCCUGGGCUGCACGCGUACUACAAUAACGGUACCAGCGAGCGCUAUGGUUUUAUAACCCCUUAUCCUAAUAGGAUUGGGAAAACUUUUCAAACACCGUUAUGACAGGGAUCGAGGAUUGGAACAUCCUCGUGAACGAGGAAUUCCUAGUAAGCGUGGUUCAUCAUACCACAUUGAUUACGUCCCUGCCUUUUGUACACACCGCCCGUCGCUCCUACCGAUGGGACGAAGAGAUGAACCUGGCGGACCGAACCGCAAGGUAAGGGAAACCAGUUAAAUCUCUUCGUCUGAGGAAGGAAAA
rnacentral:rRNA from 1 species